UACGUAGGGUGCAAGCGUUGUCCGGAAUUAUUGGGCGUAAAGAGCUCGUAGGCGGCUCGUCGCGUCGGCUGUGAAAACCCGGAGCUCAACUCCGGGCCUGCAGUCGAUACGGGCGGACUUGAGUGUUGCAGGGGAGACUGGAAUUCCUGGUGUAGCGGUGAAAUGCGCAGAUAUCAGGAGGAACACCGGUGGCGAAGGCGGGUCUCUGGGCAACUACUGACGCUGAGGAGCGAAAGCGUGGGGAGCGAACAGG
rnacentral:rRNA from 1 species